rnacentral:rRNA from 1 species
UACGUAGGGGGCAAGCGUUGUCCGGAAUUAUUGGGCGUAAAGAGCUCGUAGGCGGUCUGUCGCGUCUGCUGUGAAAACCUAGGGCUUAACUCUGGGCGUGCAGUGGGUACGGGCAGACUAGAGUGCGGUAGGGGAGACUGGAAUUCCUGGUGUAGCGGUGAAAUGCGCAGAUAUCAGGAGGAACACCGGUGGCGAAGGCGGGUCUCUGGGCCGUAACUGACGCUGAGGAGCGAAAGCAUGGGGAGCGAACAGG